rnacentral:rRNA from 1 species
UACAGAGGUCCCAAGCGUUGUUCGGAUUCACUGGGCGUAAAGGGUGCGUAGGUGGUGGGGUAAGUUUGAUGUGAAAUCUCCGAGCUUAACUCGGAAAUGGCAUUGAAUACUACUCUGCUAGAGGGUCGGAGGGGAGACUGGAAUUUUCGGUGUAGCAGUGAAAUGCGUGGAUAUCGAAAGGAACACCAGUGGCGAAGGCGACCACCUGGACUGAUACUGACACUGAGGUGCGAAAGCGUGGGGAGCAAACAGG